UGAUGUGCCAGGGUCGACUCAAUCAAUCUUAGGGUCGACUCAAUCCACACUUUGCUGCAACUUAAGGUUAGAUUCAUCCAUAUAAUCAAUGAAAUAAACUUUAAACAAUUUUGAAUAAAUGUCAUGGUAGUGCUACAUACUCCAAACAAUGAAAAUUACUAUUGUCCACUUAAGAGUAUGUUUCACUUGAAACUUUGCCGAAUUAGAAUUUAGAGUUCACUAUCCCUUUCCUACCGCAAAUUUUAUCUCAUUAAUAAUCAUUGAAAUACAUCUCAAUCUCAUUAUACUAAUGUAUCGAGAGUGACGGACUUAUUAAUGAUGUAUCGAAUUAACUUGUAACAUACUCUUAAACUUUGUAUUAAUCAUCAAAAUACCACUAUCAUCCUCAAA
rnacentral:lncRNA from 1 species